GGGGGUACUGGUACAGAGUCAAUGUGGAGGCUAUAUACAGGGGGUACUGGUACAGAGUCAGCGUGGAGGCUAUAUACAGGGGGUACUGGUACAGAGUCAAUGUGGAGGCUAUAUACAGGAGGUACUGGUACAGAGUCAGCGUGGAGGCUAUAUACAGGGGUACCGGUACAGAGUCAAUGUGGAGGCUAUAUACAGGGGGUACUGGUACAGAGUCAGCGUGGAAGCUAUAUACAGGGGGUACCGGUACAGAGUCAAUGUGGAGGCUAUAUACAGGGGGUACUGGUACAGAGUCAAUGUGGAGGCUAUAUACAGGAGGUACUGGUACAGAG
ensembl:lncRNA